GCUAAAAAUCUAGCUCUACCCCAACCUAUGCCCUAUCUUCCCUACCCCCCUCCAAUUAAAACAUUCUAACACUUUAGUAAAGGAGAUUAAAAAACUCACCGAAGCAAUAAACCUAGUACCGCAAGGGAAAGAUGAAAUAUUAAUGAAAAACCCUCAAGCAAAAAAAAGUAGAGCUAAAUCCUCGUACCUUUUGCAUCAUGGUUCAACUAGUUUAAUCAAGCAAAAAGAAUUAAAGUUUGACCUCCCGAAACUAAGCGAGCUACUUCGAGGCAGCUUAAUGAGCUAACCCGUCUCUGUGGCAAAAGAGUGGGAAGACCUCCAAAUAGUGGUGAUAUGCCUAACGAGCUUAGUGAUAGCUGGUUACUCAAGAAAAGAAUUUUAGUCCGACCUAAAGUCUCUCUAUUACACUUAAACAUCAACUUUGACUUUAGAGCAAUUCAAAUAAGGUACAGCCUAUUUGAAACAGGAUACAACCCCAUUUGAAGGGUAAAAAUAUAUUAUUACCCCCAAGUAGGCCUAAGAGCAGCCACCUUUGAAAAAGCGUCAUAGCUUAAUCCUAUUGGAUUACUUAAUUCCACUCCCCCACUUUAACCCUCUUCCUAUAUUGAGUAAUUCUAUAAUUUUAUAGAAAAUUUUAUGUUGAAACUAGUAACAAGAAGAAAGACCUUCUCUUUAGUGUAAAUAUAAAUCAGGAUGGACUGACCACUGAUAAUUAACGCCCAUGAAUACACAUUAACAACCUCUGCUAGAAAAACCUAAUUCCAUUUCACGUUAACCUAACACAAGAACACUUCAAGAAAGAUUAAAAGAAGGAGAAGGAACUCGGCAAAUAUUAACCCCGCCUGUUUACCAAAAACAUCGCCUCUUGAAUAAAAAUAAGAGGUCCAGCCUGCCCAGUGACUAAUGUUCAACGGCCGCGGUAUCCUAACCGUGCGAAGGUAGCGUAAUCACUUGUUCUUUAAAUGAGGACUAGUAUGAAUGGCAUCACGAGGGUUAUACUGUCUCCUCCCUCCAAUCAGUGAAACUAAUCUCCCCGUGAAGAAGCGGGGAUAAAUCUAUAAGACGAGAAGACCCUAUGGAGCUUUAAAAUUUCCCUCAGGCACUAAGCCAACUCACCAAGUCACAGACUUCUCCCACCUACCCCAAUGCUAUGAGGAAUACUUUUAGGUUGGGGUGACCACGGAGUACAAAAAAACCUCCAUGCUGAACAAGACCUCCAAAUCUUGAACAAAGGGCCACAACCCGAUGUACUAAAAAAUUAACAUUUAUUGACCCAAUACAUUUUUUGAUCAACGAACCAAGUUACCCUAGGGAUAACAGCGCAAUCCUCUUCAAGAGUCCCUAUCG
rnacentral:rRNA from 1 species